UGCCUUUAAGCGGGGAAUAGCCCAUGGAAACGUGGAUUAAUACCCCAUAGUCUAUAAACUUCACCUGGAGAUUAUAGUAAACAUUUAUGGCUUAAAGAUGAGUAUGCGUCCUAUUAGUUAGUUGGUAAGGUAACGGCUUACCAAGACGGCGAUAGGUAGGGGUCCUGAGAGGGAGAUCCCCCACACUGGUACUGAGACACGGACCAGACUCCUACGGGAGGCAGCAGUGAGGAAUAUUGGACAAUGGAGGCAACUCUGAUCCAGCCAUGCCGCGUGCAGGAAGACGGCCCUAUGGGUUGUAAACUGCUUUUAUACGGGAAGAACCACAUCUACGUGUAGAUGCUUGACGGUACCGUAUGAAUAAGGACCGGCUAACUCCGUGCCAGCAGCCGCGGUAAUACGGAGGGUCCAAGCGUUAUCCGGAAUCAUUGGGUUUAAAGGGUCCGUAGGCGGGAUAAUAAGUCAGUGGUGAAAGUCUGCAGCUCAACUGUAGAAUUGCCAUUGAUACUGUUGUUCUUGAAUUAUUAUGAAGUGGUUGGAAUGAGUAGUGUAGCGGUGAAAUGCAUAGAUAUUACUCAGAACACCUAUUGCGAAGGCAGAUCACUAAUAAUAUAUUGACGCUGAGGGACGAAAGCGUAGGUAGCGAACAGGAUUAGAUACCCUGGUAGUCUACGCCGUAAACGAUGGUUACUAGCUGUUCGGCUCGAUUGAGAGCUGAGUGGUUAAGCGAAAGUGAUAAGUAACCCACCUGGGGAGUACGUUCGCAAGAAUGAAACUCAAAGGAAUUGACGGGGGCCCGCACAAGCGGUGGAGCAUGUGGUUUAAUUCGAUGAUACGCGAGGAACCUUACCAGGGCUUAAAUGCAGUUGGACAGGUCUGGAAACAGACCCUUCUUCGGACUAAUUGCAAGGUGCUGCAUGGUUGUCGUCAGCUCGUGCCGUGAGGUGUCAGGUUAAGUCCUAUAACGAGCGCAACCCCUGUGGUUAGUUGCCAGCGAGUCAUGUCGGGAACUCUAGCCAGACUGCCAGUGCAAACUGUGAGGAAGGUGGGGAUGACGUCAAAUCAUCACGGCCCUUACGUCCUGGGCCACACACGUGCUACAAUGGUAGGGACAGAGGGCAGCUACCCCGCGAGGGGAUGCGAAUCUUCAAACCC
rnacentral:rRNA from 1 species